AGUUUGAUUAUGGCUCAGAUUGAACGCUGGCGGAUGCUUUACACAUGCAAGUCGAACGGCAGCACGACUCUGGUCUGGUGGCGAGUGGCGAACGGGUGAGUAAUGUAUCGGAACGUGCCUAGUAGCGGGAGAUAAUCACGCUGAAAAGCGUAGCUAAUACGUAUACGCCCUUCGGGGGAAAGCGGGGGACCUUUCGGGCUCGCACUAUUAGAGCGGCCGAUAUCGGAUUAGCUUAGUUGGUGGGGUAACGGCUCACCAAGGCGACGAUCCGUAGCUGGUUUGAGAGGACGACCAGCCACACUGGGACUGAGACACGGCCUCCAGACUACGGGAGGCAGCAGUGGGGAAUUUUGGACAAUGGGGAAACCCUGAUCCAGCCAUCCCGCGUGUGCGAUGAAGGCCUUCGGGUUGUAAAGCACUUUUGGCAGGAAAGAAACGGCACGGGAUAACACCGUGCAACUGACGGUACCUGCAGAAUAAGCACCGGCUAACUACGUGCCAGCAGCCGCGGUAAUACGUAGGGUGCAAGUGUUAAUCGGAAUUACUGGGCGCAAAAGCGUGCGCAGGCGGUUCGGAAAGAAAGAUGUGAAACUUGCGAGCUUAACUUUGGAACUGCAUUUUUAACUACCGAGCUAGAGUGUGUCAGAGGGAGGUGGAAUUCCGCGUGUAGCAGUGAAAUGCGUAGAUAUGCGGAGGACUGAUGGCGAAGGCAGCCUCCUGGGAUAACACUGACGCUCAUGCACGAAAGCGUGGGGAGCAAACAGGAUUAGAUACCCUGGUAGUCCACGCCCUAAACGAUGUCAACUAGCUGUUGGGCCUUUCGCCUGGUAGCGCAGCUAACGCGUGAAGUUGACCGCCUGGGGAGUACGGUCGCAAGAUUAAAACUCAAAGGAAUUGACGGGGACCCGCACAAGCGGUGGAUGAUGUGGAUUAAUUCGAUGCAACGCGAAAACCUUACCUACCCUUGACAUGUCUGGAAUCCCGAAGAUUUUGGGAGUGCUCGCAGAAACCGGAACACAGGUGCUGCAUGGCUGUCGUCAGCUCGUGUCGUGAGAGAUGUUGGGUUAAGUCCCGCAACGAGCGCAACCCUUGUCAUUAGUUGCUACGAAAGGGCACCUAAUGAGACUGCCGGUGACAAACCGGAGGAAGGUGGGGAUGACGUCAAGUCCUCAUGGCCCUUAUGGGUAGGGCUUGGCCAUCACUGUCAUACAAUGGUCGGGACAGAGGUCGCCAACCCGCGAGGGGGAGCCAAUCCAGAAACCCGAUCGUAGUCCGGAUCGGUAGUCUGCAACUCGACUGCGUGAAGUCGGAAUCGCCAGUAAUCGCGGAUCAGCAUGUCGCGGUGAAUACGUUCCCGGGUCUUGUACACACCGCCCGUCACACCAUGGAGUGGGUUUUACCAGAAGUAGUUAGCCUAACCGUAAGGAGGGCGAUUACCACGGUAGGAUUCAUGACUGCAGGGGGGGUGAAGUCGUAUCAGCGUAG
rnacentral:rRNA from 1 species